GUCUGGCCUGCCCACUGAGUGAUUUUAAAGGGCCGCGGUAAUUUGACCGUGCAAAGGUAGCAUAAUAAAUAGUCUUUUAAUUGAAGGCUGGAAUGAAUGGUCGGACAAAGAGUCAGCUGUCUUUUUUGUAAUUUUUGAAUUUUACUUUUAAGUGAGAAGGCUUAAAUAGUUCGGGGGGACGAUAAGACCCUAUAAAACUUUACAAGUGUAAGUUAUAAUUUUUGAAUUAAGUAUAAUAUUAAUUAUUAGCUUGUUUGUUAUGUUGGGGCGACAAAGAUAUAAUUAGUAACUGUCAGUUUCAUUGAAUAGAAAUAACUAGUAUUAUUGAUCCCUUAUUAAGGAUUAUAAGAUCAAGUUACUUUAGGGAUAACAGCGUAAUUUUCUCUGAGAGUCCAUAUCGACGAGAGUAGUUGCGACCUCGAUGUUGAAUUAAAGUUUCCUUUAGGUGAAGCAGUUUAGAGGGUAGGUCUGUUCGACCUU
rnacentral:rRNA from 1 species